rnacentral:rRNA from 1 species
UUGUACCUACGGGAGGCAGCAGUGGGGAAUAUUGCACAAUGGGGGAAACCCUGAUGCAGCAACGCCGCGUGAGUGAAGAAGGUUUUCGGAUUGUAAAGCUCUGUUAGCAGGGAAGAGGAAGGACGGUACCUGCAGAGGAAGCCACGGCUAACUACGUGCCAGCAGCCGCGGUAAUACGUAGGGGGCAAGCGUUAUCCGGAUUUACUGGGUGUAAAGGGAGCGUAGACGGCAGGGCAAGUCUGGAGUGAAAGGCAGGGGCCCAACCCCUGGACUGCUCUGGAAACUGUCCGGCUGGAGUGCAGGAG